CCUCUUCGAUCUGCUGCGGGCAGAUGAAGUGGAUGUGGGUGUCGAUGCCGCCGGCGGUGACGAUGCUGCCUUCGCCGGCGAUGAUCUCGGUGCCGGGGCCGAUCACGAUGUCGACGCCGGGCUGCACGUCGGGGUUGCCGGCCUUGCCGAUGCCGGCGAUGCGGCCGGCCUUCAGCCCGAUGUCGGCCUUCACGAUGCCCCAGUGGUCGAUGAUCAGCGCGUUGGUGAUCACCGUGUCGGCCACGUCCUUCGACAGGCGCUGGCCCUGGCCCAUGCCGUCGCGGAUG
rfam:Rhizobacter sp. Root29 contig_23, whole genome shotgun sequence.